UUUAUCAAAAAAAAAAAAAAAAAAAAAAAAAAAAAAAAAAAAAAAAAAAACUAAACUAAAAGACUUGUGUUACUGAUUACCAAAGUUUACUUGUUUUCCCUGAUGACAUAAUAUUAUAGCCUACUACUACUAGUCGCAUUUAGUCAUUUGGUUGUGUUUGCUUUUUAAUUGCAGAGACUAUCAUAAAACCUACCAAAGACAGUACAAAACAAUCAACUUGUACUGAAUUGUAAACUUGUACUGAAUUGUAAGAGACGAUUAGUUUUCUGUUCCUUAAAACCUGAUGUAGUGUUUUUACCCAAUUAAAUAUCGAACCUCAAGGAGCAAUGAACCAACACACUAGGAAUGCACACAUUCACUUAAUCUAAGCAAAAUAGAUGAUUUUGGUUUUCUAAAUUUGACCUAACAAUGCAAUUUAAAUUAAACAAUGCAAAACAAGACAAAAGAAAUCAAUAUGCAAAAGACUAACAAGAUUCAAAAUCAAACAAGAGAGAAAUAAGCAAAGCGGUUCAAGUCUAUAAAUAGAAAGCGAGUCUUCGGGUUUAGAUUAUUGAUUCGAGUGAUUAAUAAUCAAUUCAAGAUGCUCUAUCAAUCUAACAAUGCUAAUCCUUUAGUCUUAGAACACUAACGUAAACUAUUCCACUUCCAUGGUACUAAUUCUACACUAAUCAAGCAAUUAACAUCAAUUUCAAUUGGCAAUCACAAGACUAAUAUGACCUCUGGUGCUUGGGAAGAUUCCAUUCCUUUCUGAGUUUCUGAACUCCUUGUAUGAGUGCCAGUACAAGGCGUUUUUCUCAGCAUUUGGUAAGUUCCUUACAAGGAAGGUCCUUUUUCCUGGACUCCUUGUUCCUUUACGGAGAGGGAACAAGUCUCGCAGAUCCUAUCCUCCUGAGUCCAUCUCAUCUUCCAUUAGUGGUGCUGAUGACUCCACAACUAGAAGACGGGAUCUUCAGCAAAAGAGUGAUGUCCAUUUGCUUGAAGACAAUAUCAGGAAAGGACAGGAAGCUGACCAUAACAAUCUUAGGGUCAAAAAGGGAAGGAGUCACGACUCUUUGGAGCUAACAGCAGAAGACUCUGCAAAAGAUGAGAGGUUCAGUGAAUCUUUUCCUGCUCUUGAUGUAGUGUUCCAGCCAACAAAUACUAAAGCUUCAAGGCGUGCAAUGCAUUCUUCACAAGGGGGACGUGACACUUUUCCGGAUAAAGCUGUCACAAGAAACUUAGAGGAUGACUCUGAGGAUUACAAUAAGUCCAGGAAAAAGGACCAACCUGAUGGGGAUGAUAGAGAGUGAAUGUUUAUGGCCUUGUUAGACACAGCUCAGGCUAUCUCCAAGAUGAAUGAAGUGAUACAACAACUUGUUCUCAGUCAUCCUUUGUCCAAAAGACUGUAGGAAGUUUGGUUUUUAACCUUGAGCUCUCAAGCAGAGGGAGAAAAGGAGUAUGGCUGUGAUUCUGGGGGAGUUCAUGUGUUGUGGGGGAGUAGUUAUUUGUUAUUUUUGUUUGAACUCCAGACUUUGUUGUUGCUUGUUUUUCAGACUUUGUCAGAUUCAGGGGGAGUUAGUCUUUGUUGGACGAAAUUGCUAAAAUUUUUUAAUAACUUCGAUUGUUUAAAGUCUGUGAUUGCUUGUGAUGAAAAAUGUCUACAAAAGUAAGAAGAUUUCAAAUACAGGUGCUUGAGAGACACAAGAUUAAAAAGGGGGAGAUUGAAGAUGCAGCUUCUGAAGGAGUUCCUGAAGUAGUCAAGAUACCUCACGAAGUAACUCAAGAGAACAGAGCAACAUGAACAAGAUUAAGGAAAUAUGCAGAAUCUUGUUAUGGCGGUUUGAAGUAAAGACUAGAAGCUUAGAGAAGAUUCUAGAAGACAGAAGAGUUUCCUUUUGCAAGAAGAAAAGGAAAACAUGAAGACAAAGGACAAUUUCCUAUUCCAUAAAGAAAAAGGAAAUUGUCCAUUCCAAUUAGUUUUAGAAUUGGAAAUUGACCUGUUGUAUGGUCUCAACCUAUUUAGUAUAAAUAGGAGUGCUAAGGCUUGCAGAAAGCUUAGCACAAUCACGAGAGAGAAUUCCUAGCUAUUAAGUCUUAGUUUGAGAGAAAUAGAGAACUAGAGGCUUAAAGAGAGCUAAGGGUUUUAGGGAGAGUUAUUGUUCUUAAUCGUCUGUGAUUAAGGAACAAGACUUAGUGAGAAUAGAAAAUAGUGUUAAAGGAGAAACCUUGUAAACAUAUUUUCUAUUAAUCGAAAGAGUUUUUUGAGAAAUCCUGAGUUACAUCGUGAACUAAUUCAAAACUUAGUAGCUCUUGCAUUAACAAAAAGCAUUUGAAGUCAUGUUCAAGGGACGAAGCCUCAUAGUAAGUAAACGCAAUGCAAUUAUCAAUUAAGUAGACUUAGUUUUAUAAUGAAUUAAAUAAAAAAAAAAAAGAUAUACUAUAUAUUAUACUACAAAAUGAGCCAUAAUUUCACACGCUUGUCUGGAACCGAAUCUAGCCCACAACGAGAGAAACACUAGUGUAGAUAUAAUCAAUGGGUUUAGGCUACUGUCUAGUAAAAACAAUGGACUACAGAUCAAAAGCAGAUUCAGAGGAUGACGUAACAAUCGACACCACAUAAUCAGAAGACAGAGAUGAUUGCUUGAAUCGCAAGUCAGCACCAGCGUUGGAAAUGAUCAUCACAUCGAACACUACUUCUAGCAUUAGAUUCGGGUGCUGCAGGGGCAAGUGAUCAUACUGAUCUCGUUUACAAAUCUUUGUGCCUUGACAUGAUUUGGAAGAUAGCUUCUUUAUCGCAAUCAAUGUUCCAUCUAGUAAUCCUCCCUGCAUUGUCAAAUUUCUGGCAUUAACUUAUAUACUCGGCCUCUUUUUUUAGAAUACUAUGAUUUCUAGAGCUUGAAGAAAAUUUUUGUAUACUCAUAAGACCAAGAAAAAUUAUCGUAAGAACAUACAAAAGGGUGAGUGCAAGCCUGAAACAUUGACAAAGUUGAGCUACUUUUUCUUUCACAUACUUUACAAGUGCCUCAAUGAAGAAAAAGGUUGAGCUACUUUUUCUUUCACAUUCUUUUCAAGUGCCUCAAUGAAGAAAAAGGUUGAGCCUUAUAAUAUCAAAACAAAAAGAUAAUACACCAAGAGACAUAUAUUCCUAGAUGAAACAGAUUUCAAGCUAAAAUAUCUGGUGCCAAGCCCGCCCGGGACAUAUAGAAUCAAAUGCUGCUUCGUUCAGGAAAAGUUUACUGAUCAGUUCACCAACAACACUAAGCACAUGCACGAGACUGCCCCGGCUCGGGAAACAGCAAGAAAGCAGCUUACACCUUCUAUUUUGAAUCAAGAGUAUUGCCACACACGUAGACGUUCAACAAUAUGCUAGAAACGUGCACUGAACAAGAAAAGGGGAGGUUGCGUCACGGUUACCAUUUCAGAGCUGGACUCCAAGGUCCUGUCCCGGUUUGAGAAAGUUUCAGUUUUGAGGUUAAUGGUUCGAGAAGUGAGUCCUCGGAUUCGGUUUUGGGGAAUCUAUCCAGUUCUUAUAAAGAGUUUCUGAAAAACAGAACUCAAGUAUUGUAACUUUUAAGUCAUUGUGAAUUUAACGUUUAAAGCAAUUGUUGUGAUUUCUUAGAUAUGGAAGUGGUUAGAAUACUCAGUGGGUUAGCAUCAAAAAUCAAGAGUUUGUAGAGCUGUUUUGACACAGCAUGUAAGCAGUUGUGUUCAACACUGAACUAUAUAAUCACUUUGGUGAACUAUAUAAUCACAAUGUAAGCAGUUGGAGCCAAAAUGGUCUAAUACCUUAUUCUGAGCAAAAACAAGAUUUAGAAAAACAUUCAAAAUAUGAAUAACACUAAAGAAUAGUAACACAGGAUAGAAGAUGCAAAUCAUCAGUAGUAGUAAGAUAACAAACAGUAGUUUGGUUGGUGUUGAAGAGCCAACACUUAAUUAUUGAUGAAAAGAAAAAGAAAGAAAAAAGCAAAAACCAGAGUCUGCCAAGCUCUUGCAUUAAGGUCCUUCAAGAAAUUAAAUAAAUAAAACACAUUAUAAAGAGGCAAUACUUUCGAUGUGUUCGGGUGAGAUAGAGACGCUCAUAUGGGCUGCGACAAUGAGUCCAUAUCGGUGCCGAAACUCUUUAUUGUCUGCAAUUCCUUGGAGCCUAACUCUUCUGAUGUCUUUUCUUUCUACAUUGUAGUAGAAAACGAAGAAGGGUUGCUCAACAUCAUAUGGCAGAAACAUUGGGGCAAAAAUGAUUUCACCAGCCUUGUUGGUGCCCGGGGAAGUCAUCCUAUUCACCAAAGGGAAGGGAAGCUCAAAGGUUUGCUUGGACCAAUCAUGUUUCUUGACAUCCUCUAAUAUCCAUAAAUCAAAGCGAGAGAAGCUCAAAGGGUCUCUAACAAUGGAAGCUAACUUCCCUUUGUAUUCUAUCAAAACUGAAUCACUCUCCCAAGCCACCAACAUCCCUAGGCGCUGUGAUAAAACUUAGACUCUCAUAUCUAACAUCAAAACACACAAUAACCGGAUCCAUUCUCAUUCUCCGAGCCCAAGCAGCAUAAUAGAGGAAACCAUUGAUGCAAAACCCAUUAUUGGUUACAGGGUAAUAAGGAGCGGUGGUAACCUGAUUGGGUGUUUCUCCUCUUCCUCCUCGUCCAAGUGUAAUAACCUCGUGCACUAGAAAACCAAGAAACUGGUCAGGAGAAGUCACCAAGUCAAAUACUUUGAAGUGAUCACCAACAAGAUCAUAUCUAAUCCAAAGCAUGCUCGAGGUCCUUUAAUGGGUAAGGUAAUGACUUGCUUCGUGGUCGGAUUACAUAAAAUGAAGUGAGUAUCAGUAUCACUACAACAACCGACAAAGCCGCGGAUGGAGGGACACUUGGCGGCGUAACACAUGGUCACAGAAGGUAUUGUAAUGUCAAGCCUGGGGACCAAAGAAGAAGAUUCCUCUUUCUCGUACGAAGAAGAGUAGAUGAACAAACGCUUGGUAUCAUACUCUGUGACUAAACGUGAUUGUAAAACGCGAUCGCGUUGAGGACAAAACGUAGUAAGAAUCGACGAAUCUCUUGCGUCGGAUGAUUGAAGACCACAUCUUUGGCACGUAAGAGACUUUGCUGGUAACUUAAGUCAGUAUCUCAAUCUCUAAACCAAACCGGAACCGGUUUAACUAAUCCUUUCUUCAUACUCCGGUUUGUUAAAAACCAGAGAGGUAUAUAAAGCAAAGAACAGAGUUCGUCUACAUUGUUAAAGAAUCCUAACGAACUCAAAAAGAUUCUCUCUCUUUCUGUUACAACUUCGCCGCCGAUUUGAUUCUCCGAUGGCUACCUCAGGCCAUCUCCUUCUCUUCUUCCUCAUCACCACCGUCACAUUCCUAACUUCCGCCGCUUCUCCAGCGUAUCUCACGUCGCAAGAUCACCAACACGCCGACAGAAUCAUCGAAGCAAUGAUCGGAGCCGGAGAUUUCCGUGACUGGGCCGCUGAUUUCCUCUCCGCCGUCGAUGACCAGUUAGGAAUCCCUCUCUCCGCCACCAUUUUCGUCCCAAGCGAUUUCGACUCCGCCGAUGUCUCCUCCUCCUCCACCACCGGCGACAAUAAUGCUUAUCCUCGUCGUCUCUCCGUCGCUUACCACAUCGUACCUCAACGACUCUCGUUCACUGAUCUCCGUCUCUUGAAACCACUCUCUCGUCUUCCGACUCUUCUCCCGGGAAACUCAAUCGUCGUCACUAACAACUCUGUUUCCGGUUAUACUCUCGACGGCGUUCUUGUCUCUGAACCGGAUCUUUUCCUCUCUUCUUCGAUCGCUAUUCACGGUGUUGCUUCGUCGCUUGAUUUCUCACGUUACGGCGAUUUUGGUACCGGUGAUACUACUUUAGCUGAUAGUCUCCGUCCAUAUCCUCAUCGCCGUCGUCGUCGUCCUCGUGGUGGAUCCAACAGUGACAACAAUCAAACCUCUGUUUCUGCAUCCACUAUACAUUACUCAACUGGCUCGUUCUUGCUUCCAUUGGCGGCUCUGACUUUGUUCUGACUCAACAUUCCGGCGACUUUUUCCGGCCUAUUAACCGUCAAGAUUCCACUAACGGCGUGAAAGUAUUAUCUCUUUUUGUGUUUUACAAGAUUUUUAGAGUGAAGUUUUAUAUUUUUCAAGAUUUUGUGAAAUUCUGCACAUAAUGUAAAGUUUUUCACAUUAAGCAAUAGCAAAUUUUCUUGAUUUGAAAGAAGAAUUACUAUUAUUACGACUUUUCUUUUCUUGUUUACACUUCACUAACGCUAAGGUUAGGUUAUUUGUUCUUGCAGUGAUAAAAAGAACAAAAGAUUAUGAAUAAAUGCUCCAAAAAAAAAGAAUCAGAAAGAAAUUUAUUCUAUCUAUCUAAAAGAUGUCACUGUUGUUGUUGUCUCGGAGUUGGUACAGUCUCGUUGGCUUCUUGAGCUUUUUACAUCAAAUCUACUCCGAAAAGUUUUCCUUUGGUUAAACUUGCGGAACAGUUUGAUGAUAUGAAGUGAUCUUUUGAGUCUGAUGAAGUUUGGUCCUUGUGGUUCCAGUACUCAACGAGUCGAUGGUUUGGGUCAAGAACUUCAAUGGCCUGUAGAGAAGGAUUAAGUUGUGUUAGAGUUGAGAUCAUGGAUAGGUUUUGAAUGAAGAAGAACAAGGCUUGGAUUUAGAUUUGUUACCUGAACUAUAGAGGGUGAGAGGAAACCAAACAUUUGAAGGCCGUUGAUACCCUCAAACUGCGAUAAUGUAGGAAGACCAAGACUGGUGGAUGUAUCUUUAACUCUCUGCAACACCAUUUCCCAGCAUUGUUGGGCUGAGACAUUGAAGAAGCUCUCGUCUGGAGAUUCUUCCAGAGUGACCCUGAACAAUGGACCCAUGAGUCCUGCAUCCAAAACCUCGGAGAUGUAAUUGCUCAUUCUUGUUGGAUCAAGCACAUUGUAGAACUUGACACGACUCCUGAAUCCUGUAAAAGUUGCAAAAAACAAAACCUCAACAAUCUUUUCAGCAAAUUUCUGAUUAAGUAACAUUAACAAAAGGGCUUUUCAAAGAUAGUACCUUUUGGGAAUAUAGCAUGCUUAUUGCACCAAAGCUUUCCAAAAAUCAAGAACCCGAGGUUUAUAGGCUCAACCGAUACACCAAGAUUCUCUGAGGCGGUUAACUCGCCGCCACUAGUGCUGACUUCUUCUUUAAGGUCUUCUUGAUAAUCCAACUCUAAGUCAAUGUUCAGAUCAAAAGAACCUUCCUUUAACUUCUUCUCCUCACUGAUAACUGAACCUUCUUUUAACUUCCUCUCCUCACUGAUAACUGAAACUUCUUUUAACUUCUUCUCCUCACUGAUAACUGAACUAGUCUUAGUCUGAUCUUCAUUACUGUGUUCAACGCCUAACACCUUGGAAGCCCAUAUCUUUAAAUCAUUUGAUUCGCCUUCCAAUGCUCUGACCAACGAGCUUAACUCAUCCAUUGUGUACCGGAGACAAAUAAAUCCAUCUUUCUCAUCACAUGAACAAAGAUCAUCUGCAUGCUUAAGGCAAGCGUAUUCUUCGGGAGAGCACUUGCAGCCAGAAGCCGAGAAAUGCAAAUCAUAAAAGCAUGAGAAGCAUUCCCUUUCACAGUUUGAAUCAAACUCCUUCUCCAUCUUCAUUAGGAUCGAAGAAUCCCUACCAAGUGCUGCAAUUCUUCCCUCUUCCAUUUGUAACCGAGCCUAUCAACAUUUUUGAAAAAAAUGAACUUAUUAAGCAUUAGAAAGUGGAAACUAUAUUCAGUAUCAUGACUAAGUAGUAUCCGUUUUUCAUUACCUGUAUCGCGUUGGUAAGUGUCCCGUUCUUCCCACAGAAACUUUUCCAUCUCAAAUUUGUUGUAUUUUCCUUUCCCACAGAAGCUGAGAGUUCCCAAAGGGCCUUAACCGCUUCAUACGCUGCUCCAAGAAGAAGUUUGUCAUGAGACAGAGAAGUCUUCCUUGUCUCUUUACUGUAAAGUUCCACAGCGUUCUGUCCAUGAGUCAACCAAUCAACAGGAGCCACAUUAACCGCUUCUGCGCAGUUGAAACCGCAGUUGAAUCCUGCAUGAUACGCCCUCGGGAAUGUCAAUACAUACUCCCCUGAAUUCUGAACCACCCGGUAAGCCUGGACUCCCUCAUCUUUCAGGAUUGAAGGAGAAAACUGAGUAACCUGAACACAGUAAAAAGGAAGAGUUAGUCUCUAAACAUGGUGGAGACUAAACAGGAAAACAGAAUAAAAUCGAGUAGUUGUUUUCUUCCUAACCAGGCCAUGAAGUAAAUCAGGCUGUUCUUCAAACAGGUCAGGUAGAUGUUUUCUCAUCGCCUUCUCGAGAGCGGUUGCAUUGCUUCCUGGAACACCAUACCAUACUUUUGGCUCCCCAAAGUGAUGAUAGUUCAGUGAAUAUAAAUGAUGGUCCUCCACAUGCUGUUCAACACAAAGAAAUAUCAACCAUCCGAAGAUUAGAGACAAAAUGUUUAAAAUUGAUCAAAGUGUGAAAGUGUACUUACCCAACAAAAUGAUGAAAAGCACAUUCCUACAUAGAGCCAAGGAACUAGAACUCCAGAGAUAUCACAAUCUUCAAAAGAGAGUACAGAGCCGGGGAGACGCGGCAGGUUAUUCAAGUUCCAGCCAGAUACUGUGUACUGAUCCAUAUCGCUACCGGUUAACUUUUCCGCUCUUUUAUAAAACCCGCUUCCAAGUACCCCAUUCUCCAAGUCAGCUCCAUAGUAUACCUAUAACAAGCAAAAAUACAAAAAUUGGCUUUAGUUUAUUUAUAGAUGUAUAAGUGUUUUAUUGGUGAAAUGGUCUGUUUCUAUACCUCCACUUCAUCUGUUGGUUGCUCAACUAUCCGCCAGUAUUCGCCUUCUAUUUCAUCCACAGACGGUGUCCAUUUUACUAUAUCUCCACCAGAGUCUUUCUUUUUGAAGUAAGAGUCUUUAAAAUGCAGAGCAUAUUUCUCAAACUCAUCAAGAGUGAAGUCUGAACCAGAAUUGAAACCAAAUUUCUCCUCAGCCUCGGGAGAUGAAGUCGAUUCAGAGGGAGAAGAACCAGAUCGUCUCUUAGACGAACUCAUUCUCGAGUUUCUUCUCCUUUUACGUUUUCUACUCUUUGGUUUCUUUGUCAUCGGCUCACGGUUCUGAAGCAGGUCGACGUUCUGAAUCCGGGUGGGAAACUUUGUUUGCUCCCAUAUAUUCUUCUCCUUAAGCCGGCAAGGAGGUUUCCAUGUCGAUGGUGGGAUGAUUCGACAGAUACCAAACGGCUCUGCUAGUGGACGUAUCUUUUCGAUAUAAGCAAGUGUAUCUUCAAACUCCUGAUAACCCGAAAGGGCGAAAAUCAAUGAACAAGAACUCAAAACAUCAACAAAGGAAACGAAAAAAAUCUCAAACGAUUUCACGAAAAACAACUAGCAAUUAGUACCUCUAACGAUGGGGUGAAUACCGGAGCUUCAUCGAUAAUCGGCCUCUGCGCUUCAUCCGGUAACCAUCUAGCAACAACCUUUAACAUAUACAAAAAUAUUAUGUAAGAUCAAAGUUGUUUCAAGAUUUAUAACUUUUUGGAUUGCAUCAGAUUACAUCAUUCAUAUACUUCUUACCUUCCGAUGACGUGGACUACUAGGUUGUUCCAUAAUAGUGUCCUUGUCCUUAUCCUCGUCUGGAGGAUGAUUCUUCAAAGACAUAUCCUGUAUUAAAAAACACAAAUAAAUUUAUUUUUAGAGAAGAAGAACAAAAAUAUCGAUGAACAGAGCUAGAAACUAUGAUCAGCGUUACAAGAUCAAGCAAAAACAACAAAACUAAUCAAUAAUUCAACAUUAACAAAUCAAAAAAAAAAAGACGAAGAGAUCUCAUAUGAUCUAUGAUUAGGUAUUUUGCUAAAUCAAGUAAACAAACGAGAUCCGGAAAAUAAAUGCCUCUAAACAAAUCUAUGAUGAAUAAAAAAAAACAAAGCUAAUUACAAAAAUCAUCAAUACUGUUUUUGAUUCAAGGUUAUAAUCUUCAGUAAUUAACCAUAAACAAACAAGAAAACGAUAAUUGUUCAGUGAUUAAUAGAUUGAGAUACGAAUUAAACAUAGAAAACUAACCUCUUUGAUCUCAGAUUCUAAUGGAGCAACGCUGAGAUUAUUAUCCAUAUGAAUUGAAAUCAAUACUCAAAGCAGAUUUUGUAAGCUAAAGUUUUCUUCGAUUGAGAGCCAAUGAAACUGAGAAAAAAAAAAAUAAGAAAACGAUAUUAUCAACAAAAAUAUAUAUAUAUAUCCAAAAACUAAAACAAAUAUCAAAUAAAGAGAAGUUACAAAAAAGGUCCUAACCCUAAUUGAAUUCACAAACAAAGGAUCAACAACAACAACAAGAACAUCAAAAAUAAUUUAUGGGAAUUUCAUAAAUUUGUAGAUUUUUUUAUUUUCUUUACCUAUCAGAAACGAAAAAGCUUCAAAGUUUUUGCUUUUUUUCCCAAUUAAUGAUAUAAGAAUUGAAUUCGCAGUUAAAGUUAGAAAUACCCAAAUCUGGGAAAAUUUAAGAAAGAGAUUUAAUUGACCUAGUAACGACGAAUAACAAGGAACACAUAAAAAUACAAAAUAAAAACACAAACCGAACUUAACCAGGAACUUAAAAUAUCAUUUAACUUUUUAAUUAAUUUACUAGGUACAAAAUUACAAAAAACGUUUAAAAAAAAAAAAGGAAAAGUCGAGAUGGAGUUUACCUCAAACGAACGGCUGAGAUUUCAACAAGAAGAAGAAGUGUCUUUGAGAUUAUCUCUGAUUAUACGAAUCUUCUUUUAAAUAGAUUUAUAUAUAACUAUAUAAAAUAAAAAUCAUCAAGAUUGAUAUAUAAAAUAAAAUAAAAAAUAAGAGAUUUGAGACAGAGAAAGACAAGAAAAUGAUUUUGAAGCAAGUUUCUGGAAAAACGAGGAAGUUAGAACACCCGCCAAACAAAACGCACUCUCUCACAGUUUUUAACGGAUCAGCGUUAGAUCACACCGUACCGUACGAUGAUCUAAUCUUGAUGCUGAAAUUACUCAAUUACCCUCAACUUUUCUGUUUAUUUACGAUUAUAUGCCAUCUUUGUUCUUCCGUAAUCGUUCGUCGAACGUCGUCUUUGGGUUUCUUCUCUCCGCGUCGGAAAAGUAAAGAGUUUGACCGUUUCUUUUUUAUCCAAAACGCGUCGUUUUAAAGGAAAAUGGAGAUGAAAAAUGCACUUUCAGUCCCUAUAAUUUAAUACUUCUUACAUUUCUAAACUGUUAUUUUUAAAAAGAUCACAAAAGUACGAAGAAGUCAAAUUGUUGAAUCAAGAAUAAGGUUCUUGAAUCUUGACUGUGUAAUUUAAUUGUUCAAAGUAGUUUUGACUACAUAAAUUAUUUAAAAGAAGUACUGCAAAAAUAAAAUAAAAUGAAAAAAAAAGAAAAAAAAACUAAAGAAAAAACAUCUCCACAUGAGAGUUUGAUCAACUGAGGAAAACUAAAAGAAACAAAAUGUGUAAAACAACAAAAAAACGAUGCAAAUUAUUUCAUCGAUUAGAGACGAAUCUUCUUGCUUCCUGCUUCUUCUGUCUUGUCUUCUUCAACUUCUCUCUUGAUUGCAACAUUCCUCACCUAACAAAACACAACCAAAAUCAAAGCACAAUGUUUCAAAACGUUUUAAGAAUCAAUAACAAGCACCUCAAAAGAAUUUUAUAUAAAAUCUCAGACUUACAGUUUCAGCAACAGUAUCAUCAGGGUAUUCAACUACAAUGAUCUCAGGUCUUGGCUGCAACAAGGGUAAAUAUAAAGCAAGAUGCUAAUACAUUUUAAGAGAAAUAGGGAGAUAACAUUUAAACGUUUACUCACAUUGAAAGAAGAACUCGCAGUUGAUUCAGUUUCAGGAGUUGCUCCAUGGUUCCUCCGCUGGUAAACUCGAGGAGGAAUAACCCGGUUAACUUGCGGAGGAACCUGGUUAACUUCACGAGGAACAACCUGGUAAAGGUGCGAAGGAUCUUGGUUAACUUGAGGAGAAACAACCCCGUUACGGUUACAAGGAACAAGCUUGUAAGUUUGAGGAAGAUCCUUGUUAACUUGAGGAAUAGGAACAACCCGGUAACCUUGGUUAACUUGAGGAGGAACCUGGUUAAGAUCUUGGUUAACUUGAGGAGGAACAAUCUGGUAAACUUGCGGAGGAGCUUGGUUCUCUGGACGAACCCCAUAAGUUCUUCCAACCUAAACCAAAAACAAACAUUAGAGUAUGAAGAAAUUCACAAACAAUUUUUAAAUGAUAAGAGAAAAUCAGAGACAUUACAGUUGGAAUAUUGAUAUGUUUGCACUCAGAACAUUUCACAGUUUUAUCACUUUUUUGAUGAACCACUCUCGCUUGACAUCCACCACACUCAAGCAUUAUAAGAUUGUCUAAAGAACAUUUUUAUGAAACAAAAAUGAGAUUAAACAAAUCAGAACCAUAAAUUCAAUUUCUGAACUCAAAAAAAAUUAUAAUUCUUGAAUUUUUUUCAAGAACACAUACUUGGCACAGGACGUGAAAUAUUACGACAAGGACAUCUUGCGGUUUUUGCUGUGCUGUUUCUAAAACAUAAGUUAGCUUUGCAGCUUUUACAUGGAAACUUAUCCGAAAUCCAAUUUCCUGUAGUAAUAACGCACAUCAAAAGUAUUACAAAAUAGUUUGAAAAAAAAACAUUUUUGUAACAAAAAGAACGUAAGCAAAAAAAUUGAUCUUAUGAUAUUUUUACCAAGAGUAGGAAUAAUUUGAACGUGACAAUUUGGACAUUCGAUUCUUUUGCCUCCUGUAUCAAGCUCAGCAUAACAAACGGUUCUUUUUGUUAGGAGAUAAUUUAGUCUCUCUUCCAGUAUAGCUUUGUAAUGGUCUUGCAUAGCUCUGAUGAACACACAAACAAAAAAGAUUUAAUGAUAGAGAGACCUAUAGUUUUGAAAAUUUGAAGAGAAGAUCAAAGGGUUUUUACCUUGCUGAGGAAGAAGAUGAGAAGAGAGUUUUGAUAUGAAAAGAGAUAAAGAGUCUUUGUUGGUCUCUUAAGUAGCCACCGACAGUUACGAAGGUACGUUCUUUUGCACCUCGUAAUUUAAUUUAAGUACAUUCAACCUUUUUUUUUUUGUUAAAGGGUUUUUAAAUACAUUAACUUGAAUAUAUUUUUAUCCAUAUUUGAUAAUUUCCCUUAUUUCGAAACAAGAAUAAAGAGGAUGAAUAGACUAGUCAGUGUAAGAGAAGAUGUUGUCGAUAUUAGACGAUUCGGAAAAUUCAUCCAACAGAUGAUAGUCAAGAACGGAAAAUUCAUCCAAUCGAUGAUAGUCAAGAACGACAAUCAUAUAAGAUUUGAAUCAAUUCUAAAGAAGGAAGACAAUAUAUUUUGAUUUGUUAGCGAAGAAGGCUUUCAUUCCGAAAGCAUCAUGUAUAUUCAUUCUUUAUCUAUUCAUUUAAAGUUGUGUCUUUUCACGAUACUUGAUUUGUGUUUGAUCUUCACAACUUUUGUUCCAAUAUUUGUAUUACAAACAAUUGUGUCUAUUUAAAAGUUCAUCUGUUUUUAACUCUAUAUAUAUAUAUUUUCUUGUUUAAACUAUUUCAUAACAUACAUCAUUUUGAGUUUGAAAUUUGGAAUAUUAAUUCAUUUCAAUUAUGAUGUGAUCAAGCUUGGUUACCAGAACAAUGGACGCUAACUGCUUACAUGAUUUUUCAUCACAAAGAAGUUGACAAUAAAAGAUUAAUAGUGACAACAAAACAAUCUUAACCAAAAAAUUUAUGACUACAAUUGCUUAAUAUCCUCCUAAAGGGUAUGAGUUUCAAACUUUCAAUGCACACGACCAGAAUAUCAACAAAGAAUUGAAUAGUGCUUAUAUUAUGAACAUAUUAGGACUGCACUCUUUUAAUAGUGCAUAUUUCAUCACAAAACGAAUUCGAUGUUAUCUUCCAAAUUUCAGUUAGGUUUCUAUCUUAAAAGUUUUAUUUAUCAAAUGCUUCGUUCACCUUCAGACCAAAUCGAGAUACAAAAUGUUCCACCGGUACAUAUGAUCAUAUGAAAUCCCUUUUGAUGUAAAAAAAAACAAAGCAGGGGAAUCAAACCGCCAUUUUCAGACGUUUCUAGAGUCUUUUCAGAACAUAAGUCUGUUAAAAGAGUCUAAAAAAACUGAACAAAAGCUUGGAUCAUAUGUACAGAGGAAAAAUCCUAAGAUUAUUAAGAAGAAAGCAAACCAAAAUCCAAACUAAAUCGAAAACAAAGCAAUAAUUUUAAAGGAGAGGGAAAGAGGGAGAAUUCAGCAAAUGCAGCUAUCUAGUGUAGAGGCCAUUGCAGUAGCCGUUAUUAUAUCUUACAUCAGCCAAGCCAUUGGAAGAUUUCUUGGGAGUUCCAUUGACGUAAACGUUUUUUGGACCGUUGCUAAUCAGAUGUUGAUGAGCAGAUGCUGGAUUCAGGACUGUGUCUAGCUCGCCACACGACGCUGCAAUGAGUCCUGCAAUAAGAAGAAUGUGUAAAAGAUUGUUUAAAAGACUUGAGUUGAUAAAUUUGGAUCUUUCAGGUUGAUUAAGAAAAGUGUUCGGACCUAAAAACAGAGGAGACGCUUUCCCGGGUCUGGAUUUGAACUCGGGGUGGAAUUGAGCACCGAUAAAGAAAGGAUGGUUUGGUAGUUCAAUGAUCUGCCAUAUCAGUACAAGAUUAGUCAAGGAUUUGAAUUUGAAGUAAAUGGAUUUGAACUAAAGACAAUAGUUUAAAGAUUAAAAAAAACAAACCUCCAUGCGUUUGCCAGUUUCAUCUUUCGCAGCGAAAGAAAGACCGGCCUUCUCAAGGCGUUCAACCAUAUCAGGAUUCACCUGCGAGAAUUGUGUAUGUGUAUAUUAAGAAUUCAACUUUUGUCAUAUUAACUGGUGGCUAAUCAAGAAUUUGUUUACAAAUCCUUACCUCAUAUCUGUGACGAUGCCUCUCAUCGACAAAGCUUUUGUUUCCGUAUCUAUAAGAACCAGGUAAACGGAAUCAUGCUAAGUUAUCUACAGCAUUCAUAUGUAGGACCAACGAAGUAAAAUAUAGAGAUCAAUGGUUCUUACAGUUUUGAGGAUUUGCUGUCUUUGACAUUGAAGAAGGAUUUUCUGGAUCCUAAGCGCAUAGUGCCUCCCAUAUGAGUUCUCGAACCCUACACCCACCAAGCAUGAGAAUAUAUUAAAAUCAGGAAGACAGUAACGAAAGGACAUCUUAAGUAAAGAAACAGAGAAUCUAAGAACCUCGGGCAUGAAAAUGAUGCACGGAUGUUUGGUUUCGGGUUUAAAUUCUGUGCUGUUUGCAUCAUGCAAGCAGAGAACUGAUCGUGCAAACUCGAUGACAGCAAUCUGCAUCCCGAGACAGAUACCAAGGAAAGGGAUUUUGUUUUCACGGGCAUAUUUUGCAGCAAGAAUCUUCCCUUCCACUCCCCUAUCACCAAAACCUCCAGGGACAAGAACUCCAUCUACACCCUGAAGAAGAUACCAAUAGAGAUGAGCAAAAAAGGCUUCUAGAUGAUUAAAGUUGUAAAAUGGCAAACGUUUCAAACCUUUAGCAACUUCCAAGCAGCUUUAUACGCAUCUGGAUUCUGCUUAAACGAAACAAAACAAAAAGUUACUCUGCAUUAAAAUUUGUGACCAAGUAAAAACAUAGAUGUGUAAUCAACAUGCAGUAUCGGUUUUACACACCUCUUUCUCAGUUUCUUUUUCGAGAUCACAAGCUGGAACCCAAUCAACUACGAGCUUUUUGCGACAAGCCACAGAAGCAUGUAAGAGAGCCUAAACAAGUUAUCCAAAUGUGAGAACCAAGGCGAGGAAAUCAAUUUGUUAUCCAGACAGUAUCCCAUGAGAAGUGAUGCGUAAGAUCUACCUUUAGGACAGAUAGAUAAGCAUCAGAGAGGCCGGUAUAUUUCCCUACAACAGCAAUUCUCACCUGUAAAAUCAUUUGAUGCGUUAAGAAAGAGAUGUUAAGGUUACGGUUUCUAAGGAGUAAUUGAGAGCUGAGACCCACCGGCACAUGUAAAUUGUCACAUAGUUCAGCUCUGGAAGUCCAUUCCCCAAGAGAAGGCUCAUUAAGAAUACUGUUUCAUUAACAAUUAAAGAUCAGUUCCAAUCCAUUUCAGUCGCAAAUCAAGCAAGCCACAUACCAAGAAAACAAAAGACAAAACAAGACACGAUACAUAAUACCUAGCAAGAUUGAGCACUUUUGAGAUUACCAGAUGAGCUUUCUGAUCCUGUACAAGCAAAAUAUGUGAACUGAGCAUUGUAGUCUUAAUGAUUUAUAAAACCCGGUGUAGUGACUACAACAAAUUUUAGUUGAUAAAAGGUACCUUUAGCAACAAAGGAAUAUGCCAAAUGUUGGGAACAUCAUAGAGAGUGAAAAUAUACUCAAGCUGAAACAAGAACCAUAAGCUGGUAAAUUAAAGAGAUUUCAUGUAAAGAACAUAACAACAAUGGACAAAAGGCCGCAUCUUACCGGGACAUGGCAAAAUUGAGCUAGUUUUUCUUUCACAUUAUCUUCAAGUGCCUUCAUGAAGCAAAAGGUUGAGACUUUUAUAUCAGGACAAAAAUCUAAAUGGAGAUGCAAGCAAAAAAAACGAACCUUUGUGCUCCUGCAAGCUAAGAUAUCCGGCGUCAAGCCCAAGCCUCGUAGCCCCUUGACACUAUGCUGUGUCGGCUUAGUUUUCUGAAAGAACACACAAAACAAACGGAGAUAAUGUAAACAUAGAAUCAAAUGCUGUCACAUCAUGGCUGCAUCAUUUAAGGAAAAGAUUUAUACCUGUUCACCAACAACAUUAAGCACAGGCACGAGGCUGACAUGGACCAGACAGAAAUUCCCUGGGCCUGAACUCAACCACCAACCAAAAGAUACAGUAGUUAAUUUUCAUCAUAUCCACAAAAUCCACUCAUCUUUUCUUUUGGAUUCAAAUGGUAUGAGGAAAAUGAUACUUACCAACACGGUAAGAGAAUUGGCCAAGCGCCUCAAUAAAAGGCGCGGAUUCAAUAUCACCUGCAAACAUAAACAAUCUCUGUUUACACAAAAGAAGCAAAACCAGGAAAACAAAAACAAAUAUCCGGUUUUACUCUUUUUUUUUUUUUUGUAUACCUAUAGUUCCACCUAAUUCAAUAACACAAACAUCAGCAGGACCCUCCUCUCCAUCAACAGGAAUAACCGCAACUCUCUCAAUCCAAUCUUGAAUUGCAUCAGUGACAUGAGGAACAACCUAAAAUCAUUAACAACCAAAACACUUUUUAAGACUUACAAGAAACCAACACCAGACCAUAAAAUGAAAAAAGAGAGAAGUGAAAAGCUAAUUUAUUACCUGAACAGUCUUUCCCAAAUAAUCUCCUUUCCUCUCUUUAGCAAUAACAUGCUGUGACACAGACAGAGAAGUGUAUAAGAAGAUUAAGUAAACCUAACUCAUCAAUCAACCUCCAAAUUAGUUGAGAUCUAAAUCUUCUUACCUGGUAAAUUUUCCCAGUAGUGAUGUUAUUGUCUCUGGUUAAUUUGAUAUCCAGAAACCUUUCGUAAUUUCCAAGAUCAAGAUCCACCUUUUUCCAAAAAACAAGAUUCAAAAGCUGAAGUUUUUCAAAAAGUUAAAAAAAAAAAGGUCAUAUUUAUUUACCUCACCACCAUCGUCCAAGACAAAAACUUCACCGUGUUCAAAUGGAGACAUGGUUCCAGCAUCAGUGUUUAGAUAAGGAUCUGAAAGAUUGAGUGCUCCGUAAGCAAAAAAACAUCACUUGAGAGAAGAGUAACACAGAAGUAAAAGUACCGAUUUUGAUAGAAGUAACUCGAAGACCACAAGCUUUAAGAAGAACACCAAUACUACUUGCUGUAACUCCUUUCCCUAACCCACUCACAACACCUCCUGUUACAAGCACGUACUUCAUCUUCUUUGAUAUUUUAAUCGAACGAAAUCAACUAACCCUGCACAGAUAUCACCAACCAAAUCAGUCUAGAACCAGAAACAGAGAAAGCGUGAAGCUUUUGAGAAAUGCUUAACAGAGAAUUUGGGUCUUUCUAGAUUUAACAUCUCCUUUAUCGAAGAAGCAGAAACAGGGGAUGACCAGAAAAAAAUAAAAGCUGUUGCAUUUUCAUUUGUAAUAAACCCAGAACAGAGAAAAUCAGAGACACAAAAACGCACAAGAGUCGUAACCAGAGAGUGAAAGAGAGACCUGAGAGUAACCGGCGGUUGUAUAUUCCGGCGGCUCUGGAUUUUCGAUCUCUGUUUAAAGAACAAAGAGUCUGUUUUUAUCUAUGGGUUUUGAUGGGUUUAUCGGAUAAGGAUAAAGGGCGGCGAGAAAAGUGUGAAAACGAUGGAGAAGAGAGAGAGAGAAUGAAAAAAAUGAAAAGAGAGAAGAAUGGUUUUUUUAGUUUAGGUUCACGCCAUUGACGACGGAAGCGGUUUUAUAAAGGGAAGAGAGAAACAAUUUGCAGCAGAGAAGCGCCUCUCUCUCAAAACCCCAAUGUAAACCCUCCACCUAUUUUUUUUUUCUUUUUUUUUAAUAUACUAGGAUAUGACCCGCGGUACACCGCGGGUUAAUUAUUUGAUUUUUUUAUUUUUAUAAAUUGAUGAAUUUAUUGUGUAUAAUAUUUUUUGUUGUAUACCGCGGGUCACAUGCGUUGUAUCUAAAAUAAAAAAUUUUAAGUUGUAUUUGUUUUGUUUAGUGUUUAAGAUUGUAUAAUUGUAUUUUGAUUUGUUAUUUAUAGGAUUUCACCUGUGGUAUAUUGUCUCGUAUUAAUAUUGACCCAAACCCGUCCAACCAUAUAAUCUAAAAUGAAAUUAAACAUCAUUUUGUUAUUUUUUUAAUAACACUUUUAUUUAAAUGUCAUAUAAUUCGAGUUAAUUUGAAAGUUGCUUUCAAAUAGUUUCCAUGUAUAUUUUUAAAUUAGUGUGUGUUUUUGGACCAACCCGUAAAAACAAUUUAUAAUUGUAUCUUAAAAUACUAAUUAGGAUUUCACCCGUGAUAUACUGUCCCAUUUUAGAUAAUUGUAAAAAUUAAAGAAAGAUCUGAAUGACUCAAUUUCGGAUCUGAAUAAAAUAACGACAUGAUUAAAUGCUCAAUUUGUUCUUAAAAAUAUUAAUAUAGAUUACACACAUAUUUUUAUUCAUCGAUUGAGUAAUAUAUGUCCGUUUUAAAAAAUUUGAAUUGUAACAUAUGCAGAAAAAAAAAAACUAAAAUUUACUAACUAUUUAUAUAUUUUAUAAUAAUUUAAAAUAAUAUAAAUAUAAGAUCAAAUAAAAGUGAAAUAAGAAUCAUAUAUUUAUGUUUAAAUUAGGUAGAGAGGUUUUAGGAAAUUAGUGCAAAUUUGUUAUAUUAGCAUUAAAUCAUCAUAUUUGAUUUCUUUAUCUAUAAAAAUCGUGGAGAAUAUACCAUAAAUAAAGCGUUUAAAUAUAGUAAUUAGUUGAGAAAGUAUAUAUAUUUUAGAUUUUAUUAAUUAUUUUCGUUUUUUAAUUUUGCCAAAAUUUAAGGAAAGAUCCGAUUGAAGAUUUUCGGGUCAAAAUUAAACAAAUUUGACCCGAUUUGGGUACCCCAAAAACUGCUGCAAAAAUGUAUAGUAGAUAUUUCAAAUUUAUAAUAAUUUGUUUUUUUUUUUUGGUUUUCUAUAUUUGAAUUGUUUCUGUAUAUUUGCGGAUACCACCAAAUAUGUUAAUUUACCUUCUCUAACAAGCAUUAUGGAGAUGUAAACAAAGUUUAUUUAAGGUAAUCAUUACUGUGUAAUUAUUUAAUUCAUUAAAUACUUAUCAAAAUUAUUAUUCACCAUUUUGUUGUUUAUUUUUAAAAUAUUAAUUUAUUUCAUAUAUCUGUAAAAAAAUAGUAUGUCAAAAAAAAGUUUAUUUAAGGUAAGCCAACUAUUUUAAAUACUCCAGAUUUGUGUCAUUGUGUGUAAAUAAAUAUGGCAUGACAAUCUUCGUUACUCAGGGCAUGCAUGAUCUAAUAUGCAUGGGAUAAUAAUAAUUUAAUUUUAAUUAAUACAACGAAUCACAAAAAAAAAUGAAUCAUGAGGUUGAAAGACAAAAGAUAUUGUGGAUCAAUGCUCCUCGUUUCUCAUGAUUUCAUGUCGGUCAAUUAAAAUCUCGUACCAUUAAACAAAUAUCCUUAUGGUUAGUAUAUUUUCUACAAACACAUAAUUAGACAAAUGAGAAUAAUGUUGAUUAAUUUCAAGGUAAGAUUAGAUUUAAAAAAAAAAACAUUAUGUCAAAAAGUUAAUUGUUUCUUUUUAAAACAAUAACGUGGUAUUCAAUUAAUUCAAGUAAUCAUCAUGUAUACAUAUUUACGCAGAUUUACAUGUAGUAACUUUACAGUUAAAAUAUUUAUGUGCUCUGUUUCGCCUAUUGGAUGUGAAAUUGAUAGGUUUUGUGGACAUGAGUUAUAUUAGCCUAUCUUUCGCACUGUGACCACUCAGAUGGACCACUAUAACGGUAUUAACUAAUCACUAUCUUUUCUACGACUAAUCACUUAUCUUAUCAUUCUUUUUCGAUAGUUUUUUGUUGAUGAUGUUCAAGUAUAUCUUAGUGGUACACAAUUUAGGGAAAACAAAUUUGUACAAUCAAUUUGAUAGAUAUAUUUUUCUUUAGAGAAGUGAAGACAUCCAACCGAUUUUUGGUUCAAUUUUGGUUUGGAUUUGAUGUUUUUUGAAAAUAUUUUAUAGAACAUAAAAUAAAAGAAAAGGGCCGUCGAGUUUCAAAUAAUUCUGUUUGGAUCCAAUUUUAAACAAAAAUACUUCUAUAAAAUGAUUUUUGUAAAGCCCUCAACUGUGAUCGGUUAAUUUCAUUCUAAUUUGGUUUGAUUCAAAUAUAAUUCGUCAGUACAUAUGUAAACAAAACCGGUUUAAUUUUUCUUGGUAUUGUUUAUAUUUUGAUUUUUGUUUUGGUUAAAACAAUUUCAAUUCAAUAUCAAUUCGCUAAAACCGGAUUACAUAGGUUAUGGCCGCUUUAUGUGAGUGAAUUAGUUCCGUAUUUGGAUUUUCUGUUAAUUAAAAGCAGACUUUAUUUAUUACAACUAGUGUUUUUAAAAGCGGUCUAGGUAGUCGUCUACGUUCCGACUAGGCGCUAGGCGCUUAGGUGACACCUACAUGAUCGUUUCGACCGUCUAAAAUAGCAUAAAUCUUGUUUAGUGUAUUUUCAAUUUUUAAAUACAUAGAUUUAAAUUUAGAUGUUUUAUCUCCAUAUAAAUAGUUUUAAACAUUCAUAUCUUGUUUGAUAUGAAUUAAAGAAAUGUUUUUGUCUAAUAUUUGUUUACGAUUUAAUAUUAUUAUUUUCCUAAUAUAUAUUUUUAUAUGUUUUUCGAUAAUAUCAUAUUUAUAAUGUUUUAUGUUGUAAACGUAUAAACUGCCUAAAAUCGUAUAAGUUCCGAUUAAGCGCUUUACCCAUUAGACGCUGAAUUACCACUGCUUAAUGCCUAAUCCUUUCUUAAACAUUGAUUACAACUAUAUUUAGUUAUUUACUCUUUAGGUUUUAUUUUUAUUUUCUUAUUGAAGCAAGAUCUUGUGAUCACAUGCGUAAGAGAUCUAGCAUUGGUCGGACCGGACCCACCGGUUUGAUCUAUGUCCGCAUAAACGUGGAAAUUUACAACGACUUUGUUCGCAUUUUUACGUUUUCCGUUUGGCCAAAACCAGGAACUCCUUUGUUGGGAUUAUACUAAUGUAACUAGAUUUUAACCCGCGGUACACCGCGGGGCUAUAUUUUCUUAAAAAAAUCAAAAUGUAAUUUGUUUGAUAGAUUAUUUUGAUUGUUAAUUUUAGGAUUUCACCCGUGGUAUACGAUCUUUUAUAAAUAUCAACCCAAACCCGUCCCAUCAUAUUACCCGUCCCGUGAAAUUAAACAUUAUUUAGUUAUUUUUCUUUUUAAUAAUACUUUUAUUUAAAAGCUAUAUAAUUCAAGUCAAUUUAAAAAUUUCUUUUAAAUGGUUCCCAUAAGAUAUAUAUACAUAUAUAUUAAAUUUGUAUAGAGUUGAAAUAAUAUUAAUAUUACAAAUUUUUUAUAUAAUUUAAAUAUUAUAAAUAUUUUAAAAAAUAUGUAAUAUAUAUUUUUUGUUAUUGAAUAAGAGGAUAUUAUGUGUAAGAAAUGUAGAAAAUAAGAGUUUAAUAUUUUUAUUAUGGAGUCGCAAAAAAAUCUUUUAUUUCUAUACAUGUUAUUCAUUUAUUAAUAAUAAAAGAAAACAAAUCCUUUAAAUUAGAUAUUAACUAAAAUAAACGCACCAUAAUUACUUAUUAAGUAACAACCAAUAAAUUUCACCAAAAAAUAGGUAACAACCAAUAAAUUCUAAACGCAGUAAUUAAAGAAUGAGAUAUUAAAAAAAAUAUAUCAAAUAAGAUAUAAGAAUCUUAAAAUAAUUGAACAUCUAAAUAAUUUAAUUGUUAGUGUCGAUUUUAAUGCAUUCAUUAAUGUGGAUUUUUUUUUUUACAGAGAAAUAUUUCCUAAAGAUUAUCACAUUAAUGACUCAGAAAAUUAAGGAAGAUAUGAAUUUAUGAUUCUCGAAAUCGUAUUGGUAAUAUCUUUAAGUAAUAUUUUUCAAAUUUAAAUAAUUAAUGCCAAUGGCAUUCAUCCGUAAAUAAGGUCCAACUCCAGGAUUUAUUUGCUAAAAGUCAUUCAAAAAUGUAUAUAUAGAUUAAUAAUAAAAGAAAACAAAUCCUUUAAAUUAGAUAUUAACUAAAAUAAACGCACCAUAAUUACUUAUUAAGUAACAACCAAUAAAUUUCACCAAAAAAUAGGUAACAACCAAUAAAUUCUAAACACAGUAAUUAAAGAAUGAGAUAUUAAAAAAAAAUAUCAAAUAAGAUAUAAGAAUCUUAAAAUAAUUGAAUAUCUAAAUAAUUUAAUUGUUAGUGUCGAUUUUAAUGCCUUCAUUAAUGUGGAUUUUUUUUUUACAGAGAAAUAUUUCCUAAAGAUUAUCACAUUAAUGACUCAGAAAAUUAAGGAAGAUAUGAAUUUAUGAUUCUCGAAAUCGUGUUGGUAAUAUCUUUAAUUAAUAUUUUUCAAAUUUAAAUAAUUAAUGCCAAUGGCAUUCAUCCGUAAAUACAUUCCAACUCCAGGAUUUAUUUGCUAAAAGUCAUCCAAAAAUGUAUAUAUAGAUAAAUAAUUGAUAUCCCAAUUGAAACUAAAACCAGACUAUAAUCAAGAAAUCAGAUUACCAAUUUUUCAUUGAAUCUUUAACGCAUGUUGGACAAUUGACAUUAAAUGUCAGUUUUAUUCUCAAAAGUGAACUCAUCGCAUGUGUUAAUCAUUCAUGACCAUGAUCAUUCGAUCGUAUAAUGACGUUGUUACCAUGUUUUUACUCUACGGUAUAUUAAUUGUUGUACUAAACAAAUGAAAUACCAAAUCCAAAAUCAGUCCAUAUUAUCGUUGUUUCAUAUUUUUAUUUAUCUUCUUUUCUAAUUUUUCAAAAUUUACGCAUAAUUAGUUGGUUAUCGUAGAAAAUAUAUUACUUUAAAGUUUGAACUUUAGAAAAUAUAGAUAAUAGUAUGAAAAACAUAAAAACAAUUUAGUACAUAUAUAAUUAAUAUGUUGAGUUUUUUUUAAGUUUCUUCCUAAAAUAUGUAAGCAUAUCAAGUUAUUAUAGGAUGAGUAACAUAUUAAAAAGUUAGUUUAAAUAAAAAUAAAACAAGUGGAGAAAUAUUGAUAGAUAGAUUUGAAGAUUAAGUAAUGCGUGUUGUGAACCGAUCGGUGGACAUAUUAUAUUAUUUAAUUUGAAAUUUGCCAAAAAAUAUAAAACUUCAAGGAUAAAAAGAAAAAUCAAUACUAAAAAUGUUAUUGAUAUUGCUUGUUUUCAUUAGUAAAAUCAAAAUUUUAUUUUACAUAAAUUAGAGGUGUUUUUAUAUCUGUAUUUUGAAUAGAAUUGAUGAAUUUGUUACUUGAUUUUCUUUUUCUUACUUUAAACUUAAAGAAUGUGUGCUUUUUAUCCUUGCCAAAGUCAAAAAGUAGAUAAAAAAAAGUUCCGAGAAAUUAAAUUGGAAAGAAGAGGCAGAAAUAUUAGAAAAAAAAAACAAAAAGGUAAACAAGAAAAAUAAAGAAAGGGUCAAAGGAGUAAUCUUUAAUAGUUUAAAUUUUAAGAAACCCACCAAACUUGUAACUACCAACUAACAUUCAUACAUGCAUAUGCACACUUUAUGAUCCUAUCUUCUACUAUCCAAUGACUUUCUAUUAACAUGGACACUUUUAUCCUUUUAUUUUAUUUUAUUUUAUUUUUGGUUAAAUUUUAUCCUUAUUUUUCUGACAAUAAUUAUAGUAAGUAUCUAAAUCUGCUGAGCAAACUGAGUGAACGAAAAUAAAGAGCAUGAAACAGAAAUUAUAUCAUUGCAUGCAACCACUUGAACUAUUUGUCACAAACAAAACUAAAAUCCUAGUAAAUGAUCAACAAAACAUGCAUGAAACAUUAGUAUUAUUUUUUUCUAUCUCGUGCCAAAUUGUUCAUAUAAUUUAUAUACUAUUGAUUUUAUCGUAAUGCUGAUUAUUAUUUAUUGCAUAUACUUUUGAGUAUGUGAUGAUGCAAUUGGUGGACCAAACUUUAUUUCUAUUUUUUUUCUAGAAUUCCCACGGAGUUGCAAUUAAUUUGUAGUUAUAAAACAGUGACCCUUAGUUUAUAACACCUGCUUGUGGUAGCAAAAAGGGACCAAAAUGAAUAAUCGAGCAAACACUUGUAAUCACGUACGAUAGAUAUUCAUUUCUCAAGAGUUCUUUUACGUCAAUAUCUUUAAUUAUUCAUUAUUAUUAUUAUAAGGGACAUGACAUAUUGACAUUGCAACCCACGAGCCACGAAUGUGAGACCUUCUGAGUGGAUCGGUGGGUCUGUCCUUCACCAAACCUAUCAAUGUGUCCCACUGUACGCCACGUGUCAUAUCUCUUGUGCCUGGUCAAAUGUUGCAUCUGCGUUUGUUUCGGAGUUUAGAUUAUCCUAUUACUUAUUGAGACAGAGGAGUGACAAAGUCCAUGCUCUUUUUACGAUUUUUAAAUUAACUAAACAAUCAGCUUAGUUGGUUUACGUCACACCAAAUUUGACCCGAUUGUCCAUUAAAAUAAGUCCUAUGGAUAACGUUACAAAUUUUGAUUUUGUUGGGACUGAGAUUUGCACAAUCAGCAAUUUGAUUAUAUGUAAAUUAUGUUGGUAGAUGUGUAUUAAAUAUUAUGUGGGUUUAUAGCUUAUUUUCAAUAUCUAUAAUCUUUUCUCGUAACAUUUAACUAAUUACACGUGAAUAUUUUAGUAUAUCUAGCCAGACCCGUCUCUACCCCUAGGCAAAGUAAGCAAAUGUCAAUGGUCCAAUAUUAGUUUCAAAAAAUUUCUUAAAGAAAAAGGUUCAAAAUAUUUUUUAAAAAAAAAUUACUAAGUUUUAAUUCUUUUUAGGUUUGGUCUCAUUAUAUAUUGAGACGGUACUGUACCUAGCUAAUACACUAAUUAUGAAUUAUUUAGAAUUGACUCCCAAUUACCCAAGUGCAAUGCCAUUCAACUAGAUAGAGAGAUGUUUUUUAUUGCUAUCAUUUCCGAAUUCGAACUCUAGAUUUAUGUUUGUGGAAUCAUCAUAAUCUCUAUAUAAAUCAAGGGUGUGAAUGGUAACACUAAAAAAGGCGUUUUUUUACCUUUUUCAGCAAAUCCGUCAAUUGGUCACCAUUCACCAUUUUUUGAACAGAUUUGCGUUUUUCAAAAAAAAAAUAAAAAAAUUUGCGGAAUUGUCCAGCGGUUAAAGUCUUGGACCGCCUUUUAAAAAAUUUCUGGUCAUUAUCCAGCAGUUUUCAAAACUGCAGCAACAAAUAAUACAACGGAUAAUAAAACUUGCUUUUGCAUUUUAAAUAAUUAAAACUACUAGUAUAUAUACAGCUUUUUUCCCCUUUUUUUUGUUUAACAAAAUACAUAUACAUGUUAAAACACAAACAUGUUUCAUUUUUUUUAUACACAAACACAAACAUUUUAAUAUCUUUCAUAACAAAUACAAACUUCUCUUUUAUACACAAAUACAAACUUUAACAUUUUUUUUUGAUAAUUUUUCUUUAAAAAUUUAUUCUCAAGUCUCCCACAUUUUCAAGUAAUAUUUUAAUUUAUAAAUGGUGACUCUUUGCCCAAAAAAAAAUGGUGACUCUAAUAUUUUGUGUCCAUUUAAAAAAGUGAUGCAACUAUUUUCAUCAUUUGUUAUUAUUGAUGUUAAUUUGUGUCAUUUGAAAAAAAAAAUUAAAAUUUUGCAUUAAUCAAUGUAAAUGAUGUUAAUAUUUAAAUAGGUUAUGAUAAAUAAUAUGAAUUAUUGUGUAUCUUUUGUAAAUGAUUUAAAUAUUUAUAUCAUUUAUGAAAUAACCGAUGAUAUAGAAUAUAUGAGAUAAUAUAGAAUAGAUGAUAUAGAAGCCUACUUGUAAAUGAUUUAAAUAUAGAAUAGAUGACAUAGAAGCAACGGAGAUAAGAGAUGGAGAAUAUAUGAAGCAAAUAAGAGAUAAUAUUGCAAAUAUGUUAUGGGAAAAUCAAAGUAAUAGAUAAUAUUUUUUAAUGUGUUGUACUUUUUUUUUAUGAUAAAAUUAUUCAACGGAUUCAACAAUAUGUAUGUUUAAAAAUUAAAUUUAUAUUUUGAUCAAUUUGUGUAUUAAUGGUUUAUAAAUAUCUGUUAUUGUUUAUUUAUUAACAAAAAAAAAAAUUAAUUAUUAAUAUAUAUAUAUUUAUAUAUAAAAUUGCACUUAUCCCGCAAAUAGCUUUUUUCACCAAUCAAAUAUUAUUUCGUACCGCUUAUUUUAUACAAACCGCACUUGUCCCGCAAAUAUAUUUCUCCCGCACGUCCCGCAGUUGAACCGUACCGCACUAUAAUACCGCACUUCUCCCACACCGUAAAACGCGGUUACCAUUCGGAGCCUUCAAAUAUCAAAAACAUUCUAUUUAUCAAAGAAAAGAGAGAUAUUAAAAUAAUUUGAAAUAAGCCAACAAUCAACCAAUAUAAAAUCCUAUCCACUUUGAAUUUUGGAUAUGUGAUUAUUUAUAAAUAAUGUAUACUAGGAUAUGUGACUGUAUUAUAUGACAAAACACUUUAUACAUAUUUAAAGUUGGGAAAAAACCCAAAAAAACCGUCAUCUAUUUUCUUUUUGACCGUUUAAUACGCGUGUUAUUAAAUUUGGAAUAAAAAUGCUUGGUUUAAUUUCAAUUGCCUUUUAAAAUCUUCAUUUUUAAAAAAUUGGUAAAAUCGUACCCCCGAGUUAACGACUGUUAACUUUGCUAACGGAAGCACUAACUGCAGUUAAAACUUAACCCAUGGUAUUUAAGAGUAUAUAUAUACAAUCUCUUUUCUUAUCUUUAUGAAUUUAUUGACUUAGUCCAGUGGUUAAAUGUGAGUAAACUAUCCUACAAUACUUGGGUUCGAUUCCCCCUUUUACUUUUUUAAUUUUUUUUCCUCCGCCGCCCUAAACAUGGUCACCAGUCACCACUCACCAUUUCCUCCGAUCUUCUCCUUCAUUGCUCCCAAUUAUCUCACAGCUCUACAUCUCUCUCCUUUUGAACUUCACAAUCCUUCGCAAUUUUGUCAAUUCCAAACACGUCUUUACCACUUCGCCACCAUUGAUGACGAUGCCGAUAACUUCAAAUGGUAAAAUAACGUCUUCUCUCAAGACAUCAACGAUUACAACAAACUAAACCGGAUCGGUCCACAACUAUACGGUUCACUAUACGCCACGUGUCAACAAUCCACCACCGCUCGAGCUUUCUGGAACUCCGUCUUCUCCGCCGCCGGAUUCACAUAUGUCAACGCCGCCGCGACUCUGUUCACCUCUAUCGAUAACCUCCACGGAUUCAAAAACCAAUUCGGGGAUUCUCAGAUCAAUUGGUUCAUCGAAUUGGUUCAGAUCAAAAACCAAUUGAUCAACGCCGCCGCGACUCCGUUCUCCUCCGUUUCUCUUAGAUGAAGUAAAAAAAAAUUAAAAAACGUCUAAAAAAGAAAGGGGGAUUCGAACCCGGGCUCAAUUGGACAGUUAACACACAUUUAACCACUGGACUAAGUCAAUGAAUUCGUAAAGGUAAGAAAAGAUUGUAUAUAUAUAUACUCUUAAACACCAUGGGUUAAGUUUUAACCGUAGUUAGUGCAUCCGUUAGCAAAGUUAACGGUCGUUAACUCGGGGGUACGAUUUUACCAAUUUUUAGAAAACGAAGAUUUUAAAAGGCAACCGAAAUAAAACCAGGCAUUUUUAUUCCAACUUUAAUAACACGCGUAUUAAACGGCAAAAAAAAUAGAUGGCGGUUUUUUCGGGUUUUUUCCUAUUUAAAGUUGUAGGGCAUUAAGUUUCCUAAAAAUAAAAGCUACAUGACCAAUGAAAAAGAAGAGUGACGUCGUUUUUUUUCUUUUCUUAAAAAGGGCAAGGUGACGUGGUGGUGACUAGAAGAGCCAUGUCUGGUGUGGCGCCUAGUUAGCGUCGUGUCGGUUCAUCGUCAGCUCCACAUGUCAACUUAUUGCUGGUCAAACAUAAUCAAUGUGCAUAAUUCGUUAUUAACUUUUUUCUUAUUGAAUUUCCUCCUUGUGUUUUAUUCAAUAUGUACCUUUUUUUGUCGCAAUCAUCGCACUUUCUUUUUUAAUGUUUAUGAAUAAUAGAAUGUCUAUGAAAGGUAGUUAUAUGAUGUUUCAAGUAUUUUUCUUAUAGGUUCAUUUCUUUAAGUGAACGAAAACUUAUCAUUUUAAAACUCAAUUUAAUUUCCGCAGUUGUAAAAAGUUGAAAUGUAUUUAAAAUGUUUACACUUGUAUAAUGAUAAUGGUAAGGUGGAUUGGUGACAAUACUUGUACAUGAUUUUUUAUUAUUGGGAAAAAAAUCUAAUAAUAUAUAAUAUUAAAUAGUAGAUAAGUUUAAGUUUUCCGAUCACUCAAAACGUAACGAACACAUAUCUAAAAAACCAGAAUAAGAAAGACAUAAGUAACCAACACACGCAUACAUUAUGGUGUAGUGAUUUAGAACGUUAGUGGUUUUUUUUACAAGAAUUGUUGAAUAACUCCGCGCACCACAUACAACCAAUAUAUAGUAUCUUAUCCGAACGAGAUAAAUUUUUUAUACAUGCGUGGUUGAACAUCAUUUAUCAUGAUUCAUACACAAUUUUUUUGAAAUCUUACUAUAUUAUAAGGAGAUAAAACACUCUCUAUUACUUUAAACACUAAUGUUUUUGAAAUUCUACAUCACAAUUCACAAUUGAUAUACGGUAUGCCUAUUGUGGUUUCGAAUCAUUUCUCAUUUUUUUCUAACUAGAGCAUAAUAGAGUAUUCAAUGAGCACAUCUCUUCCCAUGUAUUAUUCAAGAUCAUAACGGUUUCUUUUUAUUUUCUGUAAUGUAAAAUUAUGUUUAACAAAACAAAAUUACAAGAGAGUAGCAGCUUUGCUGAAACUCACAAACAUAGUAUAAAUAUCUAAAUUUACGCCAAUGUAUAUUCAAUUCAAAUAAUCUCAAUUUUGUAAAAAAAUUGUGGUGAUUAGUAUGAUUAUCUAAAUAAAUAAAAAUUGAAAUUUGACAUUUUCACUUUUUGUAUAUUCAUUUUUUGAGAAACUCUAUUCCUUUAGCACAUAGGAGAAACUGUAUAGCUUUAAUAGUUGAUGAUCGUUUGACAAAAAAAAAAAAAAUAGUUGAUGAUCACUUUUAAGUAAAUAGAAGUAAUUACAAUCAAUUAAUAUAGAGGAUGUCAAAAAAGCAAGAAAAAUGGAUGAAUUAUUAUAUUUAGAUUCUUCACUCUCUCACUCUCUGUACAUGACACGCAAGGGAAUCAAACUAGUCAUUUGCAUAUUUCCAUUUGUUACGUGUGAAAGUGAUUUGUCUGAAGUCUGAACCAAGAAAGUCCUGAUACGGUACUAUUUGAGACUUUUAGAAUAUAUUAUAUUUGUUGUGAACUGUGUCUUUCAUUAAUAGUAUAAGGGAUAUAUAUACAAGGAUAAUAGCAGGAUACAGAGAAUAAGGUAAAACCCUAAUGGACCAUGGGCCGGUUAUGGAGUCCAUCCAUAUGGUUUAUAACACUCCCCCUUGGAAGACAUAACCGUGCCCGAUACUAAACCGGGAUCUCUAUAAUGCGCUGGGGAAUGUUGCCUCAUUAAAACCUUACCAGGAAAACCCAGUGGGACAAAACCAUGGUGAAGGAAAAAGAGUACAACACGCAUUACUCCCCCUGAUUUGAGCAUCACUGUAGAUCCUUAAGUCCGCGCAUCCCGAUCUGAUGAAUGAGCUUCCGGAACGUUGAAGUCGGCAAUGAUUUGGUGAAUAGGUCGGCUGAAUUCUCACUUGACCGGAUCUGUUGAACUUUGACCUGACCGUCCUUCUGUAAUUCAUGAGUGAAGAUGAACUUAGGCAGAAUAUGCUUCGUUCGAUCCCCUUUGCUAUAGCCAUCCUUUAGUUGAUCAAUACAGGCUGCGUUGUCUUCAAAUAUGAUGGUCUUUGAUGUAGUAGCAGUUGCGCCUUAAGGAAGGCUGCCUACGUACCCUUGGAAGGGAUCAAGCCACACGUAGUUCCUAUUCAUUGACCAUGCCAUAAUCUGAUCUUAUGAAUAUCCUGCAUUAGUAAAUCAAACUAAACCAAAGCAAACUGGACCUUCUUUGGUUAGAUCAGUAUAGAAUAAACCAAGUAAACAACGCAGGAAUAAUAGACUUUAAAACUUAAUCAAACCUUCCUUUAAACCUUUCCAGUGCCUUUGGGUUGAUCAUGAACUAAAUUUAGACAGGAGACUCACGGCAAAACAAAUGUUUGGUCUAGUGUGUCUAGCCAAAUUCAUUAGAACUCCUAUGGCACUGAGGUAUGGCAUUUCCGGACUGAAUGGAUCACUAUCCAAUCUGAGGCUUAUCACCACCAUUGGGCCUGGUCAAUGGGCGGGCCUGGUCCUUAUUAAAUCUCCUUGAGUACUCUUUCAGUGUAUGCCAUUUGAUGCACAUGGAUUCCAUUAUUCACGUACUCAGGUUGUAAUCCCAAAAAAAACUUAAUUAUUGCCUAGGUCUUUCAACUGUUUGGUCGAUUACCCAGAAGUUUAAAUCAUUCAUAUACACUGCUAUGAUUACAAAUCCUUUGUUUGCAAACUUCUUGAUAAAAAUAUAUAGACUGAUCGGAUCGUUUUUAUAGCCUUCUCUGAUGAGAUAUUCGCUUAACCGGUUAUACCACAUACGUCCGCUUUGUUUCAGUCCAUAUAAGGAUUUGUCCAGCCUUAUGCAGUGCUGCUCUCGAGAAUCUUUCUUAUCUUUGAGCUCAAUACCCUCUGGUAAUCUCAUAUAUUAUCCAGUGGACUUAUAUAAAUAUGCAGGCAUUACAUCCAUUAGCCGCAAAUCUUUCUCUUUUAUAUAGCCAGACUUAGCAAAGAUUUAAAUGUCUUAGCAUUCACCACAGGGGAGUAUAUCUCCUCUAUUUCUAGUCUUUGUGUGAAUCCUUGUGCGACAAGCCGUGUCUGAUAUAUUACGCUUUCACUAUAUUUAUUUCACACUAUCACAAAGACUCAUUUGUCCCACUGGCUUUACAUUGAAUGGUGUCCUUUGUAUUGGACCAAACACAUUCUUCUUCUUAAUGAUUCUUAGCUCCACGUUUUAUGGUCUUGUACCAUUUUAAUCAAUCAUGUCUUUGAGUGCACUCUAGUAUAGACGUGGGCUCCUGAUCCUCAUUCAUUUCAGUUGCUACCUUGUGCGCAAAUAUUUUAUCAUUGAUGUCGACAUCUUUUCGGUUCCAUUGUAUUCUAGACAUGAUAUAGUUUAUAGAGAUCUCUUUACACCUUCAGGACCUUGAGGUUUAGCGUCCCAAACCUCAUUGAUUGGUACCUUAGGGUUAUGUCUAUUAGCCGGCCAUGUCUAUGGUUUCUUGAACCUUCUCGGUUUCCCUUGCACCUUUCUUUAAUUUCCGAGGGUUCUUGUCUUUGGAACCUUUUGGGUCUACCACGUUUCUUACGUGUUGUAGCCUCUGUAGCAACUUGAUUGUGUUCCUUGUGAACAUCAAUACGUACUGGUGCAUUACAAGCUGGUAUGUACGAUUUUGUUACUCUCUUUGGGUCAUUAUAGGAAUCUUGGCAAUUGUUUUAGCUAGCUUUUGCAGAUAUAUAGUCUUUUGGAUCUCUGAUGGAGUCCGAGGAUCUUGCCAUGUGAAGGAUGUUUGAUUCCAUGUAAGUUCUUUGACCAGCUUGUUAGUCUCUCCACCCAGUGUUGGGAAAACGGAUUCAUUGAGAUGACAAUCCUUGUAUAUGGCCUUUGGCUCGAGAUACUUAAUGAUGGUGGGAGAAUCAUUUUUAACGUAUAUUCCCAUCCCCUUUUGAGGUCCCAUUAUCUGCUCUCUGUGGUGGUGCAAUGGGUACAUAGACUGAACACCCAAAUGUCUUAAGAUGGGAAACGUCUGCUCAUGACCCGUUAGCAAUUGGGAUGGGGAAUAUCUAUGCUCACUAGAAUGGCCUGAUGCGUAUAAGCUCUUGUUGCAUGUAAUAUUGCGUGUCCCCAAUCAGCUACUGUGAGUUCAAGUAUGGACAUGUGCCACGGGGUAUACUACUCUCCCCCUCAUGGACAUACUGUAGCCAUAAAACGCUUGGGACAUAAUUUACCAGCAUUAUCUAGACAUAUAGUCUUAAGUAUGUGGGCUCACAGACUUAUGGUCUAGGCCAGCAAUCUAGCAAACACCAAGUUUCUAGUUGCUUUGACUGGUGAUGGCCUUAGUAUGAGUUUCCCUUGUGUACAUGCUAUAUACGUGAGGUCCUUAAGGGGUGUGCCCUUUUGAUUUUAAUAUCAGCUUUACGAAUCAUGUUAGGAGGCUGACCAAGCCGGUCAUGCCAUUAGUGAAUCUCUUAGUAAACCCUUUUGUUUACUGUAUUAGCCUCUAUCAUAUUGACCUUGGCAUAGUAAAGGUCUAUGAUGUGGGUAUAGUCUCUAAGACCUUCUCAUGGUCUUGGGUGCUAUCAGUGAGAUAUUAUUUAUUCAAUAAUAGUGAUUAAAAUAUGUAGUAUAAUUAACAGCGGAAAUUUGAAUUAUAUCUUUGCAAAGAAUGAACAAAAGUAUGGUAAAUAAAUAUUAUCGAUUGUAACUAUUUUGAGUCUAGAUAUCGUUGGUUCAAGUGAUAUUUGAGAGACAACUAUAUAAAAUAUAUUAGUUUUUUUGUCUGAAAAGAUGUACAAAUCUAAGCUUAGAAUCUCUUAAUAAUAAUUUUUUUUAAAAAUGAUAAACUUAAAAAAUAAGUAAUCAAUGUUGAACAUUCAUAAAUCUAUUGAACGUGUCGAAUGCACUGCACGUCUGCACCAGCCAAAUUAUUGAUAAUAUUUUAAGUGAAUAUAUUAAACCUCUCCCCAAAAAAUUAUAUAGAAACUCAAUCUUUAACUCCUUAUACAUAUAUAUAUAUAUAUAUAUAUAUAUAUAUAUAUAUACAGCCAAAAUUAGUUCAAGUAUCUAAACAUUUUUAGAUGAAUAUACUGUAUAGUUGAUGCAUUAAAAGAUUUUUUUGAAAAUGUAUAGUUUUAUGUAUACUAGGUUGUUUGGCCGCGAGUAUCGCGGCUUGUUGCAGUUUCUUGUAGACAGUAUAAAAAAAAGUUUUAAAAAAUAUAAGCCAAAAUUACAUAUUAUACAAUAUAUUCAAUAAAAACAUUGGUAUCACAUUUAUUUUAUAUUUUUAACAACAAUCCUAGAAUAUAACUUUUAUCUUUUUCUCUCUUUUUCAUAUUUCACACAAUUUAAAUUAUGGUGAUCGGUUUUUAUUUUUUUACUUAAGGUUGAUUUUCUUAAUGAUAAUAUGUGGAAAAAGAGAAGUAACUUGGACAAAAAAAAAAGUAACUUGGACAAAAAAAGAAGUAACUUGGACAAAAAGAAACGAAGUAACUUAGACAAAAAGAAACGAAGUGACUUAGACAAAUCUUUUUUAUCAAUAACCACAGACCAAUCAAUCAAAUAUUUAUUAAUACAUAAUUGAUCGAACACUGCUUGAAAACGGCUCUUCCGCUCAGAAACGAAAUGUUCCAAAUGCUCUUGGAAAUUCUUGCUCCCAUUGGACCAUUUGUAUCUAUAUGCAUUAGGAUCCCGAUUUAUGGAUCUCUCGGUUUGAGAAAGAAAAGUAAGAGGAUCGAACCAUUUCUUCUGACUCUUUUUCAAAUUCGAUAAAUGUUGGUUGAUCGUAUCUUUUAUUAUAGUUCUAUGAUUCAGAGUAUCAUUUCCUAUUAUAUCCCUUUGAAUUCCAUAUUCGAAGUUGCGAUCAGGUCUCUUCAUUAAAAAGAAUCGAUUCAAUACAUUUCGUAUGUACCCAUAGGGACUAUAUUGGAAUUGGAUUUAAAUCAUAUUUCGGAUCAAUCUAUAUUGAUUGACUGCCUCCAUUAUGUUGUUGCUAGCAAAUACCACUCUUUUUGGAUCUUCCAAAUAAUUCCCGCAGGAGAUCCGGACCCAAUUUUUUCUGAUCCUUCGAUAAAAAGAUUCAUUUUCUUCAUAAAAAAUAGGAGGUAGAACCAAUAAAGAUUUCUUUUUCGAUUCAUCCCUGAAGUUGAAAACCUCCUUCAAGAAUUGUCUUUGAUCCAAUCCGUAGGAAUCAAUAGAAAAGGCAAAUCCCUUAUGAUACACCAGAUCCGGCUCGGUUAUUGAUAGAGUGAAUAGAUCUGCCAUUUCUUGAAAUCUCUCUUCUGACCCGUGGCGUAACGUGUAUCCCCCCCUCUUCCGUUCAUGGAAUAGAUGAAAUAAAUCAAAAAAUGGAUUUUUGUUCAAGAAUGAAAUCUUAUUGGAACUGUCCAUAUCCAGUUCAUCCUUCGGAACCAUAUCACAUCCCAGAUCUGAUGAAAUAGGAUGAAUUGAGACGGUAUUUUGUAAAUACGUAAUUAUCUUGAAUAUAUUAACUAUUUCUUUAUUUUCCGAUCGCUUGGAAAGGACAAAAGAAACAUCAUGUUCUUUCUUCAACAAUUUCUGAUCCCUAGUGGACCUCUCAGUAGGAUUCGAACCCAGAUAAAGUUCUGACCAUCUGUCAGAGAAAAAAGAACGAAUGGCUCUUGUAGGAUUCCCAAGAAAUUCUUCGCUUUCUUCCGGAAGCAGAUGAUUAUUCAUUCGCUUCUCACAUUCCGUGAAUAGCCGGGGCAUUGAGGAAUAACCAGAAAGGUAUUUAGGGAAUCGGUCUGAUUCUAUCUCUCUUCCUUCCGUUUGAAUAAAGGAAGGAUCCAAAAGAGUCGAUCUUUCUUUUAGUUGUUGAAUCUCUCUUUG
rnacentral:lncRNA from 1 species